rnacentral:lncRNA from 1 species
UCCCUGUGGAUGAGGUAAUACUCAGGACUCCAAACGCAUGCGGCUAUGCGCCUUAAAGGAAACUGGCAUCCUUACUGCCCUGAUGAAGUAUACUUGCGGCUUAGGCAACUUGAGGCUUGCAGGAAUGCAAACCAUACCCCUCUUACCCUCCAAGGCUAACGGUGGGUAACGUGUCAAUGCGCGCUAGGCUUGGCCGAGGCGUCAAAGCCCACACGGCAAGCCUAUCGGCCGUCACCCAUUCAUCCAAACGACGAUCCCCUGCAAAGCAUUGCAGGUUUUAUGCAUUCAGGACGCUGGAACUUCCAAGCUGUCACCCGCCACCAAGAUCUCCAAGCUUCCGACUCACGGUCAGUGUAAUGUACAUAGUAGAUUAGCUCUCCCCGUUCUACUCUUCUGUCAAUAAUCUCAACCAUAUCUGCAGCAAGGGUUCCAAGGCUGAUGGCACAAGAGAGCGGGAAAGUCCAUAUAUACACAGUCCAGUUUAAGG